rnacentral:rRNA from 1 species
GGUUAAGCGACUAAGCGUACACGGUGGAUGCCCUGGCAGUCAGAGGCGAUGAAGGACGUGCUAAUCUGCGAUAAGCGCCGGUAAGGUGAUAUGAACCGUUAUAACCGGCGAUUUCCGAAUGGGGAAACCCAGUGUGACUCGUCACACUAUCAUUAACUGAAUCCAUAGGUUAAUGAGGCGAACCGGGGGAACUGAAACAUCUAAGUACCCCGAGGAAAAGAAAUCAACCGAGAUUCCCCCAGUAGCGGCGAGCGAACGGGGAGGAGCCCAGAGCCUGAAUCAGCAUGUGUGUUAGUGGAAGCGUCUGGAAAGGCGCGCGAUACAGGGUGACAGCCCCGUACACAAAAGCGCAUGUGCUGUGAGCUCGAUGAGUAGGGCGGGACACGUGGUAUCCUGUCUGAAUAUGGGGGGACCAUCCUCCAAGGCUAAAUACUCCUGACUGACCGAUAGUGAACCAGUACCGUGAGGGAAAGGCGAAAAGAACCCCGGCGAGGGGAGUGAAAAAGAACCUGAAACCGUGUACGUACAAGCAGUGGGAGCACCCUUUGGGGUGUGACUGCGUACCUUUUGUAUAAUGGGUCAGCGACUUAUAUUCUGUAGCAAGGUUAACCGCAUAGGGGAGCCGGAGGGAAACCGAGUCUUAAUUGGGCGUUAAGUUGCAGGGUAUAGACCCGAAACCCGGUGAUCUAGCCAUGGGCAGGUUGAAGGUUGGGUAACACUAACUGGAGGACCGAACCGACUAAUGUUGAAAAAUUAGCGGAUGACCUGUGGCUGGGGGUGAAAGGCCAAUCAAACCGGGAGAUAGCUGGUUCUCCCCGAAAGCUAUUUAGGUAGCGCCUCGUGAACUCAUCUCCGGGGGUAGAGCACUGUUUCGGCUAGGGGGCCAUCCCGGCUUACCAACCCGAUGCAAACUGCGAAUACCGGAGAAUGUUAUCACGGGAGACACACGGCGGGUGCUAACGUCCGUCGUGAAGAGGGAAACAACCCAGACCGCCAGCUAAGGUCCCAAAGUCAUGGUUAAGUGGGAAACGAUGUGGGAAGGCCCAGACAGCCAGGAUGUUGGCUUAGAAGCAGCCAUCAUUUAAAGAAAGCGUAAUAGCUCACUGGUCGAGUCGGCCUGCGCGGAAGAUGUAACGGGGCUAAACCAUGCACCGAAGCUGCGGCAGCGACGCUUAUGCGUUGUUGGGUAGGGGAGCGUUCUGUAAGCCUGCGAAGGUGGCCUGUGAGGGUUGCUGGAGGUAUCAGAAGUGCGAAUGCUGACAUAAGUAACGAUAAAGCGGGUGAAAAGCCCGCUCGCCGGAAGACCAAGGGUUCCUGUCCAACGUUAAUCGGGGCAGGGUGAGUCGACCCCUAAGGCGAGGCCGAAAGGCGUAGUCGAUGGGAAACGGGUUAAUAUUCCCGUACUUGGUGUUACUGCGAAGGGGGGACGGAGAAGGCUAUGUUGGCCGGGCGACGGUUGUCCCGGUUUAAGCGUGUAGGUGUGUGUUCCAGGUAAAUCCGGUUCACUUUAACACUGAGGCGUGACGACGAGGCACUACGGUGCUGAAGCAACAAAUGCCCUGCUUCCAGGAAAAGCCUCUAAGCAUCAGGUAACAUCAAAUCGUACCCCAAACCGACACAGGUGGUCAGGUAGAGAAUACCAAGGCGCUUGAGAGAACUCGGGUGAAGGAACUAGGCAAAAUGGUGCCGUAACUUCGGGAGAAGGCACGCUGACACGUAGGUGAAGUGAUUUACUCAUGGAGCUGAAGUCAGUCGAAGAUACCAGCUGGCUGCAACUGUUUAUUAAAAACACAGCACUGUGCAAACACGAAAGUGGACGUAUACGGUGUGACGCCUGCCCGGUGCCGGAAGGUUAAUUGAUGGGGUCAGCGCAAGCGAAGCUCCUGAUCGAAGCCCCGGUAAACGGCGGCCGUAACUAUAACGGUCCUAAGGUAGCGAAAUUCCUUGUCGGGUAAGUUCCGACCUGCACGAAUGGCGUAAUGAUGGCCAGGCUGUCUCCACCCGAGACUCAGUGAAAUUGAACUCGCUGUGAAGAUGCAGUGUACCCGCGGCAAGACGGAAAGACCCCGUGAACCUUUACUAUAGCUUGACACUGAACAUUGAGCCUUGAUGUGUAGGAUAGGUGGGAGGCUUUGAAGUGUGGACGCCAGUCUGCAUGGAGCCGACCUUGAAAUACCACCCUUUAAUGUUUGAUGUUCUAACGUGGACCCGUAAUCCGGGUUGCGGACAGUGUCUGGUGGGUAGUUUGACUGGGGCGGUCUCCUCCUAAAGAGUAACGGAGGAGCACGAAGGUUGGCUAAUCCUGGUCGGACAUCAGGAGGUUAGUGCAAUGGCAUAAGCCAGCUUGACUGCGAGCGUGACGGCGCGAGCAGGUGCGAAAGCAGGUCAUAGUGAUCCGGUGGUUCUGAAUGGAAGGGCCAUCGCUCAACGGAUAAAAGGUACUCCGGGGAUAACAGGCUGAUACCGCCCAAGAGUUCAUAUCGACGGCGGUGUUUGGCACCUCGAUGUCGGCUCAUCACAUCCUGGGGCUGAAGUAGGUCCCAAGGGUAUGGCUGUUCGCCAUUUAAAGUGGUACGCGAGCUGGGUUUAGAACGUCGUGAGACAGUUCGGUCCCUAUCUGCCGUGGGCGCUGGAGAACUGAGGGGGGCUGCUCCUAGUACGAGAGGACCGGAGUGGACGCAUCACUGGUGUUCGGGUUGUCAUGCCAAUGGCACUGCCCGGUAGCUAAAUGCGGAAGAGAUAAGUGCUGAAAGCAUCUAAGCACGAAACUUGCCCCGAGAUGAGUUCUCCCUGAGACUUAGAGUCUCCUGAAGGAACGUUGAAGACGACGACGUUGAUAGGCCGGGUGUGUAAGCGCAGCGAUGCGUUGAGCUAACCGGUACUAAUGAACCGUGAGGCUUAACCUU